AAGACAAAGUUUGUAAGAUGGCUUUACAAGAAUUACCAAUGGAAGAUAGUUCAAUAGUAUUAAAGGAAAAAAUAGAAGACAUAGGAGACAAAGAUAAGUCAAUAAUUUAUAAAAUAUUCUCUCAUAUUAAGGUAGCAAUAGAUUUAAAGAGAGUGCUUGAAGAACAUGUGUUUAAUAUUAAGGUUGAGUUCACAUUGAAGGAGU
rnacentral:lncRNA from 1 species